rnacentral:rRNA from 1 species
AGUGAACGCUGGCGGUAGGCCUAACACAUGCAAGUCGAACGGCAGCACAGUAAGAGCUUGCGCUUACGGGUGGCGAGUGGCGGACGGGUGAGGAAUACAUCGGAAUCUACUUUUUCGUGGGGGAUAACGCAGGGAAACUUACUCUAAUACCGCAUACGACCUACUUGUGAAAGCAGGGGAUCUUAGGACCUUGCGCGAUUGAAUGAGCCGAUGUCGGAUUAGCUAGUUGGCGGGUUAAAGGCUCACCAAGGCGACGAUCCGUAGCUGGUCUGAGAGGAGGACCGGCCCCACGGGGACGAGGACAGGGCCCGGACCCCGAAGGAGGCCGGCAGUGUGAAUCUUGCGCUAUGGGCGAAAGCCGAACGCAGCCAUGCCGCGUGAAUGAUGAAGGGCUUAGGAUUGUAAAAUUCUUUCACCGGGGACGAUAAUGACGGUACCCGGAGAAGAAGCCCCGGCUAACUUCGUG